CAGAAGUACACUCCACCAGAAUUUCCCAUGUGAGCCCAGGAUAGGGCUUUCACUAAAGAAAAACAUCAGAGGUUCAGAAAAAAGGGAAAAGAAGAACGAGUUAAAAAAGUAAGGCUGAAUUCAUGAGCUGCAGAAAAGGAUGGAAACAUGAGGAUUAUCCAGCUUAAAGAAAUGGAGACUGAGAAGACUGUUUAAAACUAGUGGAAAGAAGAAAGGAAUAACAUUUUCUCCUGGACCCUCGUGAGAGAGCAACUGAGUAUCUUCUGCUUCUCCUCAUGAGCUAUCUCAAAGAUGAGACGAAUCACCACAGCCCAGGAAAUGCUAACAUUUGGAUUACACCUCCCUGCAACACAGAACCCUGCCUCCAUCUCUCAGAGACUUGGCACCUCUGUGUGAUGAAAUCCAAAUACUGGCUGUGGUUACGGAACCGAGCAAAAUACAGAGCAGAUGAAGAGAUACAGAGCUGUAGCUCGCGGGGCCUCAUUGUUCGAGAACACCACGUAACAAAAAGAAAAGCCGUGCACUGAGGAGCUGCUGUGUCUGCAAGGGAUCUCUUCAAAACAGAAACCAAAGAAAAUUGAACAAACCCAACAAUGUACUCUGCAGCCAACAAUGGCCGCUGCCAAAGUCUUGUACCUGGCAGCAUUCAACAGGUUAUAAUGCUUGUAUCUGCUUGGUUGUCUUCCUAUCCCAUUUGUUGUUGCUGCGUGUGUUUUAUAUGACUUAAUUCAGUACCUGUAGGUAGACUUAGGUUUUGCUGCAGUGUGGCUGUGGCUUUGGGAGCCUCUGCUUGUUUUCAUGCUGGCAGCAACUGGCAGCUUCUGGUUAAAUCCAGCUGACGAUGAGCGCUGCCGUGCUUGAGGCGCUGUGCGAGCAGAGGCAGACAGAGCAAUCCCAGGCCAGCAAGCUCUGGUCUUGUGCCUGGAGACGUCCUUGGGAGCUCCAAGGGAGAUGUGGCGUCGCCAUGGCGAGGCCUGGAGUCUGGGGAUGGCUCCUCUCCUUGUGGAUGGGAAUGAUGGCUUCUGUUUUUAGACAGCAGCGGUUCCAGAGAUGCAUCCCUAGGUGGCUGGUGUCCAUCCUGCAGCAAUCCAGACCUUCCUGUGAGGCCUGCUGAGAUGGAGAAAUGCUGAGACUGUGGCUCCCUAUGUGACUCUGGGACUUCUGCACCAUGUACAACAUAGGGAGCCUGACUGAGGGAGGACAUGAAGGAUGCUUGUGCAAAGGGAACAGUCAAGCUAGGGCCACAUGCAAGUGAAGUCACUCUUCACUUUCUCCCUCUCAUGGCACAUUCACAUUCUGAAAAUGGUAACAUGGAGAGUUGAGAAAGGACAGGCUGUAGGUGAGACCAACAGUCUGAUCGAAAGGGCCUUAUCUACAUAAAGGGCCUGACACACUUAGAACAAAUAUGAAUAAACAUUCAGUGUUGUGGAAAACACUAAUUGAGGUGAGAUACUUCCCAAGAGCAAAUGAGGGAUCAUUUCUUCUGACACUGACAUCCAUUACAUGUAUACAGAUAGGACCAUCAACACCACCAACUCAAAGCUUUGCUAUGGUCUACAGGGCCACUAGAGAAAGCAAAGUACUAGGUGACAUUUCUAAGCAGUCAGUUCUUGUUCUCCAAACACAUCUAAAUUAAAGAUCCAUGAUCCUGCAAAUGCAUGAAUUGUGUACAUAACAUAAUUUUCCAGGAGUUUAAAGGUUGCCAUUGAGGAACUUGUGUUACCUCCAAUGGAUAGAACAAGGAGAACAUUUGCACCCAAGAAACACUACUUUUUCAGUAUUAAAGUUGUAGAAGGCAUAGGAGAAUACUGAGAAGCAAAGCUGUAAUUUUCUCUGGCCUUUUGCUGUCUCCUUUCAUUACAUGUCUAGGAGAAGUAAACAAGGUCUGAUGCAUUCCUAUUGGAAACAGUUUUAGCAAAAUUGGAGUCCUUCUGCUGCAAACGGUGGAGGUAGACAUGAUUAUCCACAUUUUGGGUCUACUGCAUACACAGGGCUCUUUCUGCCUUCAGUUCCAACACUGCUUCAGACCUCAGUUCAUUAGGUUCACUUUGUUCAGCCUUCAGCAAUGUGGCUCCCAGAUGUGUUUUCCGGUAUUUCGUUUAUAACUCUGAGGAAUCUACAGCAUCCAGUCACCCCUGUGUCUUUUUUUUUUUUUUUUUCCUGGCAUUGAAGUUCUUUGAACAGGACAUUCUUAUUAACAUCAACAGUCAAAUAUGAAAUAAAGCUAAAAAACCCUGUCAGGUUUUCAUUCUCACCAGAAAGAAAUUUAAGGUAGAACUUCAACGAGCAUCCUCAUAGAAAUAUUUGCUGGCAAGGUUUUUGUUCACCACUGUACUGAUAUAGUUUUCAGCUGACAACAUACGUUCCUAUGCAACAUCUUUUAAGUCUUCUGCUUUGUGAAUAUCAGUAUCAGCAUUGCAGCAAUGAUAGUUCUGGGAUGUAAAUGGUUUAUUUUAUUUUACCAACUUAGGUAGUUUGGGAAAAAAUGAGUUGGAGGAGGGCAUGUAUGUCUGCAAGCUUGUCUGUUUUCUCCAGCUACAUGGACUUGAAAAAUGCUAUCUCUGUUACAAAUCUUACUUUCCUUUGUAUGCAUGUGGUUGGAUAAUUACCUCUAACUAUUGCUUAGAUAAAUGGUUUCUAAAGAAUUUGGGCACACAAAGUCAUAGUUGCUAAAUUGUCUAAAGAUGAUUUCUUAAAUUAAGUAAUUUUCUCUCUAAGUUUGUUUCAUGGCACAUGAAAAUACUUUUUGCCAUAUGUAUUUCUAGGCCACUUUUUAAAGCACGCAGAAUUAUUAGGUCUUAUAAAUUUUCACAGGCAUAGCAAAAAAUGCCAGCAAUUGCUUUUGUCUAAGUCAUUUAAAAAAGGUGUCACUAUGUCUGACUUCAAAGUGCCUGGUAAAUCUGGAUCAGAGAGGCAAUGAAUUUGAAAUAUUAAAUCAUGCAUAGCACAGAGCAUUGGGCAAAAUUAAAAAGGGAGGCUGAGUAAAAGAUCAUAGAAAAACAUAACUCAAGCAGGACUGUGGUAUUUUGAUUUAUUUUCAGUUUUUUAAAAACUGAUUUUGUUUUGCAGGAUCUCCCUGUGCCCUCCUGCCAUCAUGAGAAAAGAGCUUCAGCACACUUUGCUUUCCAGGCUUUGCAUUUACAGCUGGUUCCUGAAGGAGGUUCAUGAACUCUGCUGCACACAGCGAGUUGCUUCUUGCCUACACAUAGUUUUAAUUGUAGUAUUUAGCAAUUGGUUUAGUCUCUUAAUUGCAAGGUAUAACAUCUCUGCCAAAAAUAUCAUAAAUGGUGAUAACUGAGUAUUUUUCAUAUCUGAAGUAUCUCAGUAUUUGAAUCUCGGUUAUGCCUUACCUUCCCCUGUUCUUGGGACAGUGUAUUCCUCAUUUUAAUUCUGUGCCUUCCAGAGAAGCACUACUUAAUUUCUUUGGGUAUUGCCUGUGCUUUAUUGCAGUGACAGUAGAAUCCAGGACAGGAUGAAGGAAGGGCCCCAUCUAGGUUUUUCAGAACAUGCAAUACUGCAUGUUUCUAUCAAAGCCCAGACUAUCUUUCACUUCUCUAAUGUUAGCAAUUCAAGUCUUUAUGAACUUGCUUGACAGGAGAGGCUGCUUUUUGGCUAAUCCUACUUCUACCCUCACUGAUAUGGCUACUCCUCCCCAUCCUCAUGAAGCAAAUUCACCUGGCUCUUGGCUGCCCCUGACCAGGAGGUUUACUCCAAGCUCUCUGUCUUACACUCUCUUUCCUUCAAUUGAAAUGGUUGUCAGGACCUUGUCUGGUAUAAGACUAGGUUACAUUUUGCUUGUCAGAAAGGUGCUUUUUCUGUUUUACAUUUGGCUUUUAUUCUUGCAUUGCCUGACCUCAUAAUCCACCCUGACCCACAUGAAACCCUAAAUAACCAUAUCACUUGUUAGUAUUACAGUAUGUUUGUUAAGCAGUACACUGUUUCAAGGCUCUUGUUGAUGGCUGCUGCACAGAGAAUUUAUUGCUUAAUCCUAUCUUUUGUUUUCCAGACUUUUUCUGAUCUUGUUUCCAUUGCUUACCUUUCUCUCUGUAUGUAAUGUUUAUAUAUGACUCCUUGAAAGACCUUGCAGGCUGUGUCAUGGCUGUGUCGGGGCAGGAACUCAAUGAGCUUCAGAAGGAAACUUUCUAGUCCUACCGACUGGGUCACCCAUAGAAAGUGCUGUCUUCAGAGGGGAUGGAAAUCCAGCAGUUGCAGUUUCAGACUCGUCCAGCUGUCAGCUGAAAAGUAUCUACAAAAGCUUGCUAAAAAUAUCUGUCAAAAGUUUAAUUUAUGACAAAGUAAAAAUGCUGUGUGAAACACAUUGAACCCCGGUUUUGAAGCUUGUUUGGAAAACUUUUUAACCUGUAGCUGGCUUUACCUAAUGUUUAUCUGCCAUAUCAUAGAAUCAUAGAAUGUCUUGGGUUGGAAUGGAUCAAAAAUCAUCCAGUUCUAACCCCCUCACCACUUGUUCUUGCAGCUCUCCCACUGCUACCACAGCCCGUCUUCUAUAUUUUUUUGGUGCAAUGCUGUUUUUAUUGUUAACACAGUCAAAUUUCGAAGUCAAGCUCCACUCUUCUCCAUUAUUACUUCUAUUACAAAUAUUUGUGAAUUUUUUUGUCCAUUUUAAAAUUUGGGAUAUGCCAUGGCACAGUCACAUGAGGUUUGUAGUUCUGCAGCCUCAGUAUUUUGUCAUGUGGGUAACAUUAAUCAGGAUGACUUGGUCUUUGAGGCAUCCUCAAUCUAAGUAUUUUCAUUAGUUUUUCUUCUUUUCUGUGCAAGAAAGAACUGAAGAGCCUGCAGUAGGGAGGGAAAGGGAGAGAUGGCUUUGUACUUAUUUCUUUUUUUUUUUUAUUUAACCAACAUCUAGUUGAGCUUUCAAAUACUGCUAAAAUCUAAUGUACUCUCCAAGGCCUUGUUCUGUGUAUUAUAAUCUGUAAUCAUCUGUGUUACAGUUUUCACAGAAGUGCUAAAACCAUUUUAGCACCACUUUGCUGGCAAGAACAUUUAGAGUCUUUCAAAGAAUGAAACUUUUCAUGAACUACAAAUAGAAGACAUUUGUGAGGCUUUUAUGAAAACUUGGCAUUUAACUGACUGCGUUAAGUCCAAGAGUAAUUUUCAGAUCGGCAGUAUAUAAAAUUGGUCCUCAAGCUCCUUCUAAAUAGCAGCACAAAGUAGGACUCUGAAAAGUCAGUUGUCUGUGUCAUAAUUAGUAGGAGAUAAACUAAGUGUCAGAAAACACAUUUGCAGAGGAAAAAAUGUCUCCAUACUUUUAUCUUUCUUUCAUAUUGUACACAAAAUUGAAAAUUGCUCUCUCUUAUUAAGAAUUCAUGCAUUUAGUAAUAUUAUUACUUUUAUAAAGAUAUCCACUCUAAAAUAAAAAGGACCUAAACUCAGAAGAAAUGUGACUCCAUGGGGAAAAAGGCACAUCAUUUUACUGGCUUUCUAUACCAAAUUUUCAAGAUCAAAUUCUGCAGAAGAGAAAAGGAAAGGAAGGUACAAACUUUUUCAAAUAGAAAUGGUGUAAAAUGGAAAUUUCAUUUAUUUUUUUUUUUCUCCUCACAGGGAGAUCAGCACAAUCAGAUCUUACAGAAUAAUGAUAUAGGUAUUAUUAUUAUUAUUUUCAAACUGGCUUUAAUUUUCAGAAUACAUCCUCAUCUGGAGCUUUCAGUGUUUUUCAAUUCACUCCACUUUCCCCUACUCUUCUUUAAAAUACAGAAAACAGAUGUGGAAUACAUUUCUGAUUGUACUUAUCUGUGACUGAAGUCUUGAAUAUAGUGAUUCUACCUGCAGAAUGCAAGUGAAAUUGGAGUUAAACCUUAACUGUUUUGAUUGGACAUGUGCAUGGCACGUGAAGAAUGCAUGCAAACCAAGUCCAGAAUGUUGCUGUCACCCCAGUUUUGGGUGAAGCAUAUGCACUUUUACCUCUGUGAUCUCACACAAACAUCAGCAAGGCCUUUGCUUUUCAAAUCCACAGAUCUCUGCCUGUGAGACUGUGUAAAUGACAAAGAAAUCUCAUUCUUGACAUUUGAUCAACACCACAUAAGAGACCCAAGCCUGUACUUUACCAAGGCUUUUGUGAGAACCUGAAUAGAUUUUUCUCAUUUUUGCUCAUCAAUGUAGUGAAUUCAGUGCUGAAAUGACAGUAAAUCUCAGGGAGGUGAGGAGAAUUACUGAAUGCUUAUGAAUCAGUUAUAGUGCCUGGACUCAGAAGCUCAGAAGGUGUGAAGAGUUUGCCAUUAACGGCUACAGGAAUUCGUUCUGAGAUUGCUUCUGAAUCUUUUGCUGUGUUUACAUGUUCUGAGAAUAAUAAUAUAAAUAUCUAACACUUCUCUGGUGCACAUAAUUGCUUUUUCUCCCAGCACAUGCACGUACUAGAAACACUCGUAUGAUUACAUUCUGUGCUUUACUGAGAAGAGGAGCUUAGUGAAUUUGUCCUUGCGUAGGAGUCUGUGGCAGAACGAGAGGCUGAGCCCUGUUUCCUGCACCCAGACCAGUGUUGCAAUCAUGUGACCACUUCUGUGCAGACACCUUCCUUCAAUGAUGUCUACUGUGGAAAUCAGUCUGAAGAUUUGAAUGGUGCUUCCCAGUUCUAAAACUGACAUGUAGAUGUCAAUGUGCAUCAAUAUAGAGAGACCUGCACUUCUCCUAGCUCAACAACUGCCUUGGAGAUUUAAUCAGUCUUGGAAGUACUACUCUGCUGUCUUUCCACUGACAAGAAGGAGAGAGAAGCCACCACGCAGGUGUGACAGUGAAGAAUGAAGCAGCCUGUUUCCUCAGGCAAUUAAAUGUGGGCAGCUGUGGUAAUUUACAGACACUUCAAUCCCUUGGUCUUAGGAUGGUUUUGGACUGAAAAGAUGUAGGAUCAGUUUCCUAAAGGUGAUAAGCUAGAUCUCCAAAAGAGAAAUUUAUCCACAGCAGACAAUAAUAAUGAUUUAGAUACUGAUACCAACAUUUAUUUCACAGAGUUAUAGAAUUACCAAGGUUGGAAAAUACCUCUACGCUCAUCCAGUCCAACUGUCCACUUAUCACCAAUAUUUCCCUAACCCUAACCAUGUCCCUCAGUACAACAUCUAAACAUUUCUUGAACACCUUCAAUGACAGUGACUCCAUCACCUCCCUGGACAGCCCAUCCCAGCGCCUGACCACUCUCUCAGAGAAGUAUGGUUAUAUUUGCUUUAUACACAACAAGCUUUUAAACUUCAAAACUUCUGAAGUUCAGCAAGAUGUCAAAAGAACAGCAGCAAUUUAAAUUGUACUGUAGGAGCAUUAGAACUCAGGAAACAACCAUGGUAUGCUCUUAUUCCUAAAAAAGCCAUGACAGAAUGUUAAUCAUUCUCACAAAUUGGAGCUGAGCACUUUGGACCAGUGGUAUUAACCUCUGAAAGGUGAAUCUUGACAGGUGUUUUCUCAAGUUCCAUUCUUCAUCCCCACUGCAGUAGUCUCUCCCUUAAAACACUGUAUUAGAGUUGUGAGCUGUAAAUACAUCAGGAGCAUAUCACGGCACCAUAUUACAUGUAACAUUUCAGAUUGGAGCACAUCUUAGCAUACCAUGUGAAGAUCUCAUGGGGCAGCACUGGUAGGUAUACCACGUUUUCCUCAUCCCUCUUACUUCAAUAGACUCUAUCAACAAUCUGAAACAGUAGGCCACUUACAUGAAAUGCACGUCCUAGAUCUUCUGAAUUUCUCUGAACCCUGCAUCUUUGACUGGUUACUGCUUUGGGGUUCUUACUGGGAUGCAUUUUUGUGAAAUGAAACACCAGCUGAUUCAAAUGGAUGAACCAAGAGUGAGCUGAACCAACAGCUAGGACAGAAUUUACCAGCUAUACUAGCAAGGGCAAAGACACUUCUAGCUACUGUACAGCUGUAAACUUGAAGACUUAGAGCUCCAACACAAUAUUUUUGUAUUUAUCUAAAGAAAUGGCUACAUGAACCUUUGCAAGCAGAAGUGAGCUUUCUCCAUCUUUACUCUGAGCUGACUGGAAGUCAUAUAGCAAACUAGCAUGGCAUUAGGCCUAAACUAAUAUAGCCUGCUUCCCAGCUGAACUUUAUUAGCUUGGGCUUGGUGCCCUGCUAACCACAGCUGUGGAUUUCAUGUCAGCUUGGAGUACAGGCAGAACAAGCUCAUGCCUCUUUAUGGGGAGUCCUAUAGGAUUUUAAUGUUUGUGAGUAGUGCUAGCAUUAGAAAGUUGGAUGUUUCUUCUUUCUAUCCUCAGAACAAAUUACAAAGUGGGAAGGAGCAGGGAAGGACUUGAGAUCUUUCCCUUCUAAGAAAAGAAAAGAGGAAAACCAAACCCAAACAAAGUUAAAGGAAGAAGCUGCUGGCUGGAUGCCACUCUGAAUGGACUUGUUGUUCUCCAGUUCUCUGGACCUAAUAAAGCAAUUCAAUUUCUACAGGCGAUGGCGAAGUCUAAUGGCAGCAAACAGAAGAUAGUUAACACAUGGGACGUGCCUGUGAUGUGGCUUUCUGGAAUGAGAGAUUGCAAUCACAGGACGAGGAGAGGAGGGAUGAAGGGUAAGGGGAGCAGAGGGAAGGAGGUGCCUCCACAGAGACAAAAGUGGCAGACACAGGAAGGAGCUUUGUUUCCUCCCAGCAACGCCGGGAAGAGCUGGAGAGAGUUUGAUUUCAAAGUCCAACAAUGAAGUGAUGGCAUUUGUUUCCAAUUCAGCAGGAAUGAGUGUAUGGUUUGAACAAUUCUUUCGAGGUUCCUGGCAGGGGGAAUAUAACUCAUCUCAGCUGGCUGUUUUUGGAGAUCAAAUGACACAAAAAAAAUUUGCUCAAAGCUUAGGGUAUCCUUCUGGCAGCCGGAGACCAUGCACAUCUUCACAGAUUUGCUAUUUGCUCUAAUGUGGACCAAGAACUGCGUGCUGUGUAGAAAACUGCUUGCUUACAAAACAAUCUUAUUACUGCCAGAUGUUGGCUCCCUGCCUGCUUUUACAUAAUUCAGGCUUUUCUUUGCUCAAGAUGUUACAAUUUAAAGGUGCUUUAGAAGUUUUAUUUUAAAAGCCUUGAUAAUGCUUUUAUCCUUAUUCUUUUUUUCCUCUUGCUCAGAAUGACUCUUCUACCACCACAUGCUGCAAUCUGGUGUAUGUGGAAUAUGUUAAUGUGUAUAACCAAGAACAGCAAAACUCUUUCUUAGCUCUACCCCUGGGCUGAUUAAAACAAGCAUAAAAAUAUCCCUAAAGCUGUGCUGUCUGCAUCCUGGUGAUUCAUAUAUGCCAAAUAUAAUGCGCACCUUUUGUCUUAAAUGCUGCCUUAGAUAGUGUGUGUGUGUGUAUUUAUAUAUAUUUGUGUAUCGAUACGUUUUUAAUUAGAUACUUAGGCGAGGGAUUACUGUAAGUGACCAAGGACUGAUAAUAGAGGUUUAAGCCAGGCAAAUGAUGUGCCGUAGAAGAUUUCUCCAUGCUGCUAGCAGAGCUUUGGACUCAUAGACUUCAUUCUUAAUUCAUGGACAAGUAACUACCAAAGAAGCAUCAUCAUAAUCGCGUGGCACGUUCUUCACUGAAUUUUCAAUGAUUACGCAAACUAGCAAUGAGUAAUGAUUACAAGAUUAUUUUAGCAGGCUACCUGUGGAGUUGGAAGUGGGUGCUUCAGUUCUACCUUUUUUUUUCUUGUUGUUUGUUUGUUUUUUGUUUAAUGUCCUUCAAAGAUGGCUACUGCAGCCUGGCCAUUAAAACUGUGUGGUUCUAGGGUAGGCUAACUCUUGAGGACAACUUCAGAUGCCUUGACACACAUUGUUUGUGCCUCCUUUGCCUGGAAAGCAGAAUAUAGUCAGUCCUUUGCUAGGAAAUUCACCGGUUUGUAGAAAACUGUAGUAAUUUGAAGGAAAUAAUGUAAAAAUAAUGUAAAAAUCCAAACUCUUUGUCUGACAUUCUCCACCAGUUUUAGACAAACAUCAAAGUAACGUAUGUUUGAAAAAUGUGACUUUAAGCUGAUUGUUUCACUGUGUCUUUAGACAAGAAACACUGAAAAACGCAGGAUAACCCUACCAAGUGAGUUGAUCAUGGAUGUUCUUUCCCCCACCCUCAACUCUUUCAUAUUUCUGUUUUUGAAUGCACCUUUCUCUCUACAGAUCUACAGUAUUUGACCAUGCAAGUUCACAGAUCUCCAGUGCCAUUAAAAUGCUUCAAAACAAAACAAAAAAACCCCACCUUCAUCCUCCCUUCAUCCUUAGGAUAAACACCACUGUAAGUAACAGAAUAGACCAAUCAUAGCAAUAGUUGUUGAAAAAAUAAAGUGAUAAUAAGAAGUUGUCAUUUGAGGAUUAAGAUCUAGCCUAUAUUUUGCCUACUUAUUUCACAAGAUAUUGCUCUAAAGACAUUGUAGUGAUCAGAGCAAUAAGAGCAUUUUGGACAAAUAAAGUGAAACUUACUGUUGUGCCCAUUUGGGCACACAUUUGGGCCCUACUGAUCUCUGAAGACCAGUUUGUGCACAAGGUUACCCGUAAGGUCUACACGCACAAUUC